GAAGCUGACCAGACAGUCGCCGCUUCGUCGUCGUCCUCCUUCGGGGGGAGACGGGCGGAGGGGAGGAAAGUCCGGGCUCCAUAGGGCAAGGUGCCAGGUAACGCCUGGGGGGUGUCACAGCCCACGACCAGUGCAACAGAGAGCAAACCGCCGAUGGCCCGCGCAAGCGGGAUCAGGUAAGGGUGAAAGGGUGCGGUAAGAGCGCACCGCGCGGCUGGUAACAGUCCGCGGCACGGUAAACUCCACCCGGAGCAAGGCCAAAUUUGAGCCAGUGAGCGAUUGCUGGCCUAGAUGAAUGACUGUCCACGACAGAACCCGGCUUAUCGGUCAGUUUCACCU
rnacentral:RNase_P_RNA from 1 species